GUAAAUUGUUUGAUAAUUAUCGUGAUCACUCAAAUAUUAUUUAAAGAGAUGCAUUAAAACUAGUUUAGUUUUAAAUCGGGAAAAAUAUCAUUUCAUGGUCACAUAAGGGGAUAUCUUAGGAUAUAAAAUCUCUUCAAAGGGAAUUUAAGUUGAUCAAGCCAAAAUAGAGGCGAUAGAAAAAUUACCUUUGUCUCCUAAUGUAAA
rnacentral:lncRNA from 1 species